UAGCCGAGUUAGCAGCAGAGCUAAAAUCAAAGCUAGCGAUUAGCAUGCGGCUAGCGCUGCUUAGCGAUCUUUUAUAAACAUUAACAACCACAUAAAACAACCUGAAUCCGUGUCUACGUGAACCCAAACACCGAACAUCAGGGUCACAGCUCCGGACAUUUGCCUCAUCACAUUCGGGCAUGUCGGAAAGGACUGGAAGUUGUUUAGGAUAGUUCUCGACAAGUUUUUCACAAGGUCGCCACUGUCAGGGAGGAAGAAAAGAGAAAGAAUAGUGAUGAGAAAUGAUGGAUCAAGAUCUGUG